AGUGAGAGAGGGAACACAAGCAGGGGACGGGGGAGAGGGAGAAGCAGGCUUCCCGCGGAGCAGGGAGCCCGACGCGGGGCUCAAUCCCAGGACCCUGGGAUCAUGACCUGAGCUGAAGGCAGAGGCUUAACAACUGAGCCACCCAGGCGCCACCUUACUGAACUUUUCUAGACAAGAGAUGGUAUACUGAUGAAGAUGAGAAAAGUGGAUGUAUUUACAUGCAGAACUCUGUAGGAAACCAUGCAGGGCUUACUAAUGGAUUAAAUGUGGAAAGUGAAAGAACGGAGAAUCCAAAAUGACUCCUAGUUUUCUGGCUUGAACAACCAGAAGGAUGGUGAUAGGAAAAGGCAAAUUUAGGGAUGAAUAUAGAGUCCUAGCUUAGAUUUUUUUGGUUUGAGGUGCCUAUUAAACAUCAAGUAGAGAAGCCAAGUAGUCAACUGUAUAUACAAGUAUGGAGCACAGAAGAGAGGUGGAAGGCUAAAUAUUUAUAUUUGGAAAUCAUAGGCAAAUGGAUGAUAUGUUAGUUUGCUACUGCUACAUAACCAUUACUAUCAUUCACUGGCAUAAAGCAACAGUAAUUUUUUUUAAGCAUGGAGCCCAACAUGGGGCUUGAACUCACAAUCCUGAGAUCAAACCUGAGCUGAGAUCAAGAGUCAGAUGCUUAACCAACUGGGCCACCCAGGUGCCCCAACAAUAAUUUAUUUUUUUUAAGAUUUUAUUUAUUUAUUUUACAGAGAGAGACAGAGCGAAAGAGGGAACACAAGCAGGGGGAGUGGGAGCGGGAGAAGCAGGCCCCCGCUGAGCAGGGAGCCCGAUGCAGGGCUCGAUUCCAGGACCCUGGGAUCAUGACCUGAGCCAAAGGCAGACGCUUAACGACUGAGCCACCCAGGUGCCCCAACAAUAAUUUAUUUUUGCUCACAUCUGCAGAUUGGCUGGGGUUCAAUCGAGGCAUCUCUGCUUCUAUCUGUAGGGCCAGGGGAGUGCCUGUACUCUGUAUGCCUCAUCCUCCUGGGACCAGCAGGCCAGACAGGCAAUGGCAGAGGCUCAAGUGAGGGAGAGGAAACAUUCAAGGUCUUGAGAAAGUCCUAGGAAAUGAAAACAGGUAUCAAAGAGAUAUCUGUGCUGUCAUGUUCACUACAGUAUUAUUCACAAUAGCCAAGAUAGGGAAACAACCUAAGUGUCCUUCAGUAGAUAAAGAAUAUAUCUAUAUAUUCUAGAUAUAGAUAUAGAUAUAGGAACAUUAUUUAGCCAUGAGAAAGAAGAACAUACUACCAUUUGUGACAACAUGGAUGGAACUUGAGGGCAUUAUGCUUAGUAAGUCAGAGAAACACAAACACUGUAUGAUCUUACUUAUUUGUAAAAUCUAAAAAAACCAAACUCAAACUCAUAAAAACAGAAUAGAAUGGUCGUUACGUGGGGCCAAGGUGUGGGAGAGUCGGAUAGAUGUUGUUACAGGAUAGAAACUUGCACCUAGAAGAUGAGCAAGUUCUGGAGAUCUAAUGCACAGCAUAGUGAUUAUUGUCCACAAUACUGUAUUAUACACUUCAAAGCUGCUAAGAGACUAGAUAUUAAAUGUUCUUAACACACAAAAAAGAUAAUCAUAUGAAGUGAUAGAACUGUUAGCUAAAUCCACAGUAGUAAUGAUAUUGCAAUAUAUAAAUAUAUCAAAUCAAUACAUCAUAUACCUUAAACUUAUACAAUGUUUUUUUAAAGAUAUUAUUUAUUUAUUUGACAGAGAGAGAACAAGAGAGCAUAAGCAAGGGGAGCAGCAGAGGGAGAAGGAGAAGCAGGCUUCUUGCUGAGCAGGGAGCCCGAUGCGGGGCUCAAUCCCAGGAUCCUGGGAUCAUGACCUGAGCUGAAGGAAGCCACUUAACCAACUGAGCCACCCAGGCAUCCCAACUUAUACAAUGUUACAUGUCAAUUAUAUCUCAAUUUUUUAAAAAGUGCUGGGCCCAUGAUAUGCCUUUAAUUUCACCAGUAUAUCAUUACCCAAAGCAAGUUACAUGGCCAAGACUCAGCCUAUGACGACACCCUGAAUUCAGGAACUGGGGGGAGCGAAAUUGGGGUCUGUAAUUUAGUCCACCACAGAUGAGAUCAGCCAGGGUAAGAAUGUAAACAGUAAAAAGAGCCAGGCUUGGACAAAUUCCCAAGGUACUUCAGCAUUUACCUGUCAACCAGAAGAGGAAAAAACAGCAAGAAUUUAGGAGGAGCAAGUGCAGUUGGAGAAUAAUUAAGAGAACAUGAGAAAAAUAAGAGAGAACAGUGUUUCAAGGAGACUGCCAGAUGUUGCCGAGAUAUCAAGGGGAUGUGAACAGAGAGAGGACUAUGGUAACUGACAACAUGGUCCACCAAUCUAGGUGUUCCAUAACAGGACACCAGGACAGGUGAGAGGGUAAAACCCCGCUGUUUCAUCCUGGGUUCUCAGACAGCAAGAAAACAAAUUAUGUUUGGACAAUAAACAAAACAAAACAAAAACACACCACUCUGUCAGGAAUGGUGGAAUAAGAAGUUGAGUGCUUAUUAGGUUAAGGCCAGACUGUUGAAGUUCUUCAACACCUGCCUAGGGAGUUGGAACUUGGUCUUUAAACAACAGGGAAUCGUUCAAAGCUUUUUGAGCAGAGGAGAGAUAAAUAUCAAGUUUGGGAUCUAAAUGCAGUGUAAGAUGGAUUUGAGAGAGAGGAGACUGGUGACAAAGAAGCAGGUUAUCCUAGUUCUGUUACUCACACCUCUUGCUCAGAUCCUCACCUCUGAGAGAGACUUAAGUUCCCUAGAUCAAGUUCCUGAUGCUUGUUACUAUUAAAAUCUUUCUUGCCUGCUUCUUCCUUGCCUGGCUGACCUUAGUUGACUUAUGAUAACUUUCUAAUCAAAAUCUGGGUCCUGACCCUCUGCCUCCACCUUCCAUCUCAGCACUCACUCAUUUAGAAGUAUAACCUUUCCUUUUGUGUCCAUGUAGGAAACUCCUCUGCCAAUGGGCUUCAGAUGGCAGCAUGAAACCACAGCCUGGCUUGUUCACAAUUCCAGGCUGCUAUUCAGACCUGUUCCCCCCAGUCCCUGUUGCUCUCCUUCCCUCAGCCCAUCCCUGCCUAUUCUCCCAGAGCACACUGGAAAGUUCACAGAGUUCAGAACAUGCUGGUAUCCUCCAAUUUACUAACAUAGGCUCUAUUCUUUCCCUAGUCCUCCUCAUCUCAGGCUUGACCUUUGUUAUCUACCCUGUGCAAAUGCUCUUCCUACUUGAAGUUUCUUUUGGCCCAUUAGUGACUCUCAGCAGGGGGAUGAGGUAGGGAUAGGGUGUGAGCAAGCAAUGAUCUUAAAAAGCAACCACUUUGUCUACUAUGUCGUUCAAUCUGCACCAUUUUCCAAGAAGACUAAAAGGCAAAUAUGUCAACAAAUGUCUCACAUAGUGAAAUAUCACCAUUGGUAUUACAUAGUAAUUUGGAUUGGAAAUUUUUUCCUACAUUCUCAUGCCUGGACUUCCAACAGAUCUACAGAAAGAUGAACAGGUGUUGUUUCUAGAACACAAGGAUUACUUGAAAUGAGCUAGGGUUUAAAAUGAGAAGUCAUUAUUAGGGGCACCUGGGCGGCUCAGCCGUUAAGCGUCUGCCUUCGGCUCGGGUCAUAAUCCCGGGGUCCUGGGAUCGAGCUCCGCAUCGGGCUCCCUGCUCUGCUGGAGGCCUGCUUCUCCCUCUCCCACUCCCCCUGCUUGUGUUCCCUCUCUCGCUGUCUCUCUCUCUCUGUCAAAUAAAUAAAUAAAAUCUUUAAAAAUAAAUAAAUAAAAUAAAAUAAAAUGAGAAGUCAUUAUUAGAUAUAUGCCAGGAUUCUUCUUGUUAAUUUUAUAGGGCCAUCAUGUUUUUCCCUAACACAUACAUCUUCAGUUGCUAUGCAUGGUAUUUUCCUGUUGCCAAAUAUUCUUUAGCUGACUGGUGCUAGCAGGAAAUGGAGAAAAAUAUAAAAUUGGAAAUUAGGAAGUAAUGACAUCAGUGUUCAAAUCACAAAAGACAAGGUGGAAACAAAUAUUCUGCCUUAGCCCUGAUUUACACUGUUAACAAAAGACUGGAGUCGGCAAAAUUAGAAAUUGCUAACUCUUCUCGGUCACUACCAUUUAGUAAAAAUUUAUUUCCCUGACCUCAAUGGUACUUCAUUUGGCCAUAGCGCUCACUGGGAAAUUGGCAGUGACACAUGAACUCUCUCAGAUUGCACCACUCCUGGGUUCUGGCUGCAUCUCCUGGCCACAGAAGCCGUUUGUGAUCUCUGCCUCUUCCUUCAGUUUUUGCUCUGGAAAUACGGCAAAGUGUAACAAAGCUGCCCACCUGAUGACAGAGCAACUCAGAGCUGCCUUGUUCUCACAUUACAUUAGGCACCUUCAGAAGCAGCUUUAACUCUGGCCUCUGCUCUCAGUCACAUAUUUCAUUAUGUGACUGCCUUCAGAGAUUACUAGACUGAAUCACUCUUGUCUGACAGGGACCAGAGGGGAGUACAAGGCUGAUGCUCCAUGCUAUUCCCUUCAUCCAUACAUCCCUCUAGUGGCAAAAGUCUGGUAAACUCUGAUGUCCUUUGUUGCCUCAGGAGUUAGUUACAGUUCUCAGAGUGGCUCCACACUAUCUUUGUCAAGAGUGACUCAUGGCAUUUACUCCACUAAGGAUCCAAUAUUGCUUGCAUAGAUCGUAUCUUAUAGCUUUUCCAAACAACCUUCUUGAAUUUAACUUGCAUAAGGCCCUAAAAUAUCAUAGUAGGGAAGCUAGCUUAAAGGAACGCACCACAGUCACACUCAAAGCUGACCCUUGAUUCUGUCAUUUGGGUCUCUGAGACAGGACAUGGGCCUACUGACUCUUUUUUAGCCUCAUGUCUUAAAAUGUGUUUUUUGCCUUUCCUCCAUGACUUCCACCUGUCCAUAUUACUACCCCCUGAUGAAACAGGAACACGUGAGAAAACCAGCCCUGAGUAUCUCUUGGUUUCUCCAACAUAGACCUAUAACACCAUGGGUUACAUUGGUAAAGAAAUGGAGUCCAUGACUAGAGCCUGUGUCAGUCAAGUCACUUCAAAUAUUUAUUGAGCACCUUCUUUAUGCCCAAUAUCAAGGAGAUCUUGGCAGCCAGCUAUUAACACUAGUCCCAACAGGUUUCCCUGAAAGCAUGAUUAUAUCACAUGCUUUUCACAGCCCUCACUGCCUUCCAGUAAUUAUGGAGCAACACUGGGUAACUGUGGACUGUUGAAUGGAGCAAGCCUGGGCCACAGAUGAACCAAAAGCAGAUGCAGUAGAGCUAACUCCUCCAUCCCUCUUGAAUCCUCCAAAAAGCUCAGAGUAAACAGGACCUUUAUGUUAUGGUCAUUAUUUUGUGCUCCCCUCCUUUGCUUCAUCACCUCCUAUCUGUUGCUUAGACUGUAAACACAGACCAAAUGUCAAGACACUGAUAGAGUCGCCAGGAAACCCAGCUCCAGGUGCCAGACCUACCUUUGUGCUUUUGGACUGUUGCUGUUUGUGUAGAGAUGGCAGGGAAAAGUGCCACAUGGCUCAGUGCUCCUUUGCUUCCUGCUCUGUUAGGUAUUAAACCCCAGCAACCUGCUCAAGGCUCAGUCUCCCUCACUAGAGCUAACUCACUAGAACACUAACCCCCAACUUAAUGUCCCUUGAGCACAGUCCUCUCCUCUUCUCUUCUUGCCUCUUCUCUUUUCUUCCCAAGAUCCUGUGAGCUAAAUACCAUCAUAUAAUAAGCAAGAAAUGUAUAAUGCAGAGAUUUCUCUUCUUUAUAGUUCUACUCAUAUGGAAAAAAAAAGAAUUGUUGAUUAUCUUAACCUACACAUAACUUGUAGAACAGAAAGAUUCCUGUCAAAUAAUCCUCCCUUAAUAGAUUCCCUUCAUUAUUAUAAACUAAGACAUGACCUUCAAGCAUUAGUACCCAGACAAUACAACAUUUGUGUGUUAUUUAAUUAGCUUAUUGCUUUUGUUAAUGUACAUUCCUGUGGUUCUACCACUUUCCACUCAAACUUUAAAAAAAUACUACAUGGUAUUAAAAAAAUUUUUUAUCAAUGUAUCCAUACUUUUGCUUCAUUUAAAAAAAAUUUUUUUUCCAGCCAGGAUCUCUCAAUGUUUUGAAGUUAUCUCAUAACAAUGGCUAAUUUAUUAAGUCCUGGAAAAUUAUAACAACAAUAAGCCUUUGUGCAAAGUUGGCAUGCUGGAGAUUCUUGGUUUAAAAAAAAAAAAAAAGAAUGUGAUAGAUCUACCAGAGACCACUGUCUUUCUGUACCAUCUAAUCCCCAUUAUGAAGUGAUUCUUAUCAAACUGGGAAGUGAUCAUGCGGCAGCCUAAACAACGCUGGAAAAACUAAUUCAAUAAAUCAGAAGGGUUAUUCCAUGUCAUCUACAUGCUCAAACAAGAGGGAGAGCACAUUGGCUUUAAUAAAUCCUCAGUUUCCAGCCAAAGGCCUUUCAGAGCUCUUGGCUGCCUGAUCAGAUGUCUGGAAUUAUGAAAGUUUUUAGAGCUUAAGGAGGAAAUUCUUAUUUAUCAUAAAAAGAAGAUUUGAACUGGACAAAUUAUUGAAUAUUCUAUAUAAGUAUCUAAGAAUCAUGUAAUUGUUUAAUAAUUAUUAUCUCAUUUUACAUAUAAGGAAACUAAAACUAAAAAGAGUUAAGAAACUUGCUCAUAGUUGGCAGUUAGGAAAUGAUGGAUCUGCAAAUGCUAAUCUUUCUACAAUGUCCACAUCAGAACGCAGGACAUCAGAGGGGGCGCUGGUUUCAUCAGUGAUUCCAUCUCAGUUGGUCAUCCAGCCUGGGCAUGAUGUAUGUGACCAGGUGACUCAGAUCACUGGGCUGAUGAGGAUGACAGUCAUUUAGUGAUUCAGCAAAUAUUACUGAGCAACUACUAUGUGUCAGGCACUGUUCUAGGUGCUAGAGAUAGAGCAGUGAAUAAAUGGACAAAAUCCCUUUUCUUCACUGAGUUUACAUUCUACUGAAGGGAAACAAACAAAUAAGUACAUAACGUCAGGUAGUGAUAAGCACUGUGAAGAAAAAGAAGGAUAAGAGGAAAAGAGAAAACUUCAAUGGUGGUGCUCCCCUAUUUAGAUGGUCAGGGAAGUGCUCUCUGAUAAGAAGACAUUUGAGCAAAGACUGAAGGAAAUGAGGGGAGGGAGAAGAAAGUGAACCAUGUCCUAUUUGGGGAAAGAGCAUUUCAGCCAGAGUGAAGGCCCCCAAGUAAAGGGCCUAAGCAGGAUGCUCUGUACAUUUCGGGAAAAGCACUGAAGAUGCCCGCAUGGCUGCAGCAGAGUAAGCAAAGGGGAGAGUUAAAAGAGAUGAGGUGGAAUGGAUGGCAAGGAGUGAGACAACCAUGAAAGGCCCUUUGGAUCCUAUAAACAUUUUGGGUUUUACUCUAUGUGAGAUGGGAAGUCCUUGGGAGGUUUUCAGCACAGUGACAUACUGGUUUAUGUUUUAAGAGUUCUACUGAUAAUUAGCCAGUUGACUUGGAUGCCUCUAGGCAGCAAGGCCCCAAACUACAAACAGAAUGAGUGGUAGGGCAAUAGUACAAAGAACAUGGGCUUUGGAAUUAGACAGAUCUGUGUCCAGACCUCAGGCUCCAUCCCCAGCUCAUUCUAUUAUAUUUGCACUAGUUAUAUAACCUCUUUGAAACUCAGUUUCCUCAACUACAAAAAGAGAAUAAUAUAACCUGCUCUAUAGCUAUUAAUUAAAUGAGAUAUGUAUAAAGCACCUAAAAUAUUACUGUAUUUUAUUAGCACUAAAAAAUAAAAAUAACCAACCAUUAAUUAAUUUAGUGAUUAAUUAUUGAAUUAUUUUAUCAUUAUCAAAAAUAAUAAAGGCAAGACCCGAACUGGAUAAUAUUUCUUCUCUGCUUCUAGAAUAAUAACAAUAACAAAUUAAUAGUGGGGAAAAUAAAGGAUGUACUCUUUCUCUUUAAAAAAAACUUUGGGGCACCUGGGUGGCUCAGUCAUUAGGCACCUUCAGCUCAGAUCAUGGUCCCAGGGACCUGGGAUUUUUAAAAAAAAAUAAACAAAUUAAUUAAAAAAAACUUUGCAUUUUUGGAAAUUUUCAAAGAUAUACAAAAUUAAAGCAAGUUCUCUAACGAGACCCAUGUAUACAGUCUCAAUAAUGAGCAUUUAUCCAAUCUUAUUUCAUCUUAUUUUUUCUGGAAUAUUUUAAAGCAAAUCCCAAAUAUAUUUCCUUUUUUUUUUUUAAGGAUUUUAUUUAUUUAUUUGACAGAGAGAGACACAGCGAGAGAGAGGGAACACAAGCAGGGGGAGUGGAAGAGAGAGAAGCAGGCUUCCCGCUGAGCGGGGAGCCCAAUGUGGGGCGCUCAAUCCCAGGACCCUGGGAUCAUGACCUGAGCCAGAGGCAGAUGCUUAACGACUGAGCCACCCAGGUCCCCCCCAAAUAUAUUUUCAUUUCAGCUAUAAAUACUUCAGUUUUUAUCCCCAACAGAAAAGAAUUUUUUUUAACACAACCCAAUACAAUGAACAUAUCUAACAAAACUAACAAUCACUUCUUAAUAUCAUCUAGUAUGCAGUCCGUGGUCAAAUUUUUCAGCUGUCUCAAAAAUAUCUUUUUACAGUUGUUUUGCUCAAAUCAGGAUCGAAACCAAGCCCAUAGAUUGCACUUGGCUGAUAUGGCUCUCAAGUCCCCUUUUAUCUGUGACAGUUCCUCCUUCUUUUUUUCCUCCCAUGACUUGUUUUGGAAGAAAUUGUCAUUUGAAGGAUAUGCUCUAUUAAUGACAGGUUAGUAAUGUUCCCUCCACAGGCAAAGGACAUCAAACCUACUUAUUACACUAUAGACACAUUCCAAGUGCUUUCAUUCCAAUUUUAGUAUAUGUGGUGCCAAAGCGAGCACCCCAAGUGCUUUCAAAGAGGAGUAAGGGGAAUGUUUUCUACUCCCAAGAGAGGAAGUUAACACUAUCAACUCUUGUAGAGAAAAUACACUUAAUAUAAAGAGAUGGCCUUAAACUCCUUAAGAUGGACAUAAAGGACUGUCAUGAAAUAGACUGUAAGACCUAAUGGCUUUCUUCCAGUCCUAGAAUUCUCUGGGACCAAUCUCAGAUGUGUAUUUAGAUGAUCACCAUGGAAUAAUGACCAACAGAAUUUCCUGUUUUCUGUUAAAGAGCAAUCAGAAAUUCUUCUUUGUUGAUAAGAAAUUACAAGAAUAUUUCUUGUCCUAGUGAAAGGGGACAGGUCAGUUAUUACUGUGAAAGCCUAUACUGACCUUAAAACUGAUAGCCCAAUUGGAUUAGCUGAGAUAAAUUCAACUCUGGAGUCCUAACUAGAGCUACUUGGCUUUCAUCAAUUCUUUCAGGUAAUUCAAUAGAACAAUACCCAAAAGAAUUAAAGGGAUACUGAUAAAUUCUGAAUGAGCAGAAGAGAUUUUUUGAAAUAAGAGGAAAAAAGCAAGAUAAAUGUAGCUCCUGUUGAUUCUAUAUCAUGGUAUGAGUAGGUUUUGUCAAAGGAUCACUUGCAGAAGUAACUACUUCAAGAUCUUGACCAAGAAUUGACUUCUGGAAGCAAGUCAAAACUUAAAUUUAGAUAUUGGUUCCCAUACACAUUAUUUAACCAUCAAAUACAAUAUUCCUUUAUAGACCUUAAUAAAAGGCCAAAAUUAUAAAUGAAGUGUUUGUAUUCAUUACAAAUUAUUUUGGACUUGGGGAAUCUUUUGAAAUGUCCAUGUGAGUCAACAUGGGGUGGGAGCUGGAAAAAGAAAGCAUGGUCUCCCACUCAUAGCUAAUUCUGGCUCUGGUAAUCAGGGAAACACAAGAGACAGCCAAGUAUGGACUGGCAACCCCAACUAGCUUGUUUUGUCAUUUUGCCUUUCACUCAAUAAUCAACCUUCCUUGGGCAUUCAUUAGAGUGUGACCUAGCCCUAGGUCCACUGUGUUCUGAGUAUACUAAUUCUUCAUCAAAAUGUGAGGCCAGGAGUCUGGUUUAACACUGACAUUCAUUUUUAAUUAAGAUGGAUAAUUCAGAAAGAUGUUAUUGUUGGCAAACAAACCACAAAAGGAAAUCAGUGGUCUAUGGGACACAAGGCAGGAUGGUGCAGAGAAAAGAGAGACAGGAGAAGAAAAUAGGAGAAAGAAAGAACAUUUUUGUUUUGCUUUGUUUUUAAGUAUCCCAAAUAUCUGAUGAAAAGGAAAAUAGAAGAAAGGGAAGAAAUGAAGGAAAAGAAAUUAUAGUGAUAGCUUUAGGUUCAAAGAUGCCUUUAAAAGUUGGCACAUGUGGGGUGCCUGGGUGGUUCAGUUGGUCGAGCAUCCGACUCUUGAUUUCGGCUCAGGUCAUGAUCUCAGGGUCGUGGGGUCGAAUCCCAAGUAAAGCCCUGCAUUGGGCUCCAUGCUCAGCUGGUAGUCUGCUGGAGAUUCUCCCCCCAUCACUUCUCACUCUCUCUAAAAUAAAUAAAUCUUUAAAUAAAUAAACAAAAAAAAGUUGGCACAUGUGGGGCACCUGGAUGGCUCAGCUGGUUGAGCAUCCAACUCUUGGUUUUGGCUCAGGUCAUGAUCUCAUGGGUCAUGGGAUGGAGCCCCGCAUCGGCCUCCAUGCUCAGUGGAGAGUCUGUUUAAGGAUUUUCUCUCUCUGCCCCCGCCCCCCCACUAGCGCACACAUGCGUGCUUGCUCUCUCUAAAAUAAGUAAACAAAUCUUUAAAAGUUGGCACAUGUAAGAUUGUGGGGAAAAACUUCAAGUCUCCUACAUGCUGGGCUGAUUGGAGGGAAGUGGGGAGGCGGAGGGUAGCCCAGUAUGUGCUUCAUCAGUACUGACAGGAGGAGUGAAGGAGGCUCUGUCUUGGAUCAGGCCUUUCCCACAUAAGCACAAGGCUGAGCUGUUCGACUGGGCUUGGUCUUUGGGGUGUGGAAAAGACAAGCCCAAUCCAUUCAACCUACAAAUGCUUUUUAUAGCUAUUCAUGUUUGUUAAGGCCUGGAAUUGAUAGAAAGCAGUGCAAUUUUUAAUCCUUCAAUUUCAAAUCUCAAUAGGAGGAAUUUUGGUUAGCUGUGACCAAGAUUCUAUAAUAAGUUGCUUUAAAAAGAAGAAAAAAAAAACCUGAAAAGUGGCAACUGAUAGGGCUGUUCCUUAAAAAAAAAAAAGCAUAAUGUAUUGGUUCUGUUUCUUCAAACUGGAAUCACUAAGACCAAUGGAAAAAUACAAGAAGACAAAUUUCAUCUCAGUACUUAAGCAAGAACAUUUUUUUUUAAGAUUUUAUUUAUUUAUCCAACACAGAGAGAGAGAACACAACAGGGGGAGCAGCAGAGGGAGAAGGAGUCUCCCCACUGAGCAGGGAGCCCACAUGGGGCUCGAUCCUAGGACCCUGGAUUCAUGACGUGAGCCGAAGGCAGACACUUAAUGGACUGAGCCACCCAGGCUGAAAUCCUUUCCUACCUGGAGCGCUGCAGGGGGUGUGACAAGUGGAGAUAUCACUGGACAUUUGCAUUUAAAGAAUUAAUAAAAAUUCCUCGUUUGCCUGAAAGCCCCAUGAAGUUUAUAACCUUGACGUUUUAUAACCCCCUACACUGGUUUCCCUCCUGGUAUGGCCAAACAAACCAACAUAAAUCUGUAUCUUAAAGAAUGCAAUUAGUAAUGUGCUACUGGACCGCAUACUGGAACUAUGCAGUUCCCUGGCCACAGAAUUUCACAAAAGGGAAACAAACAAUACAGAACAAUGAAAAGCAUUUCCUAAGCUAUAUUAACCUUUAGGUCACCCAUAUUAAUGACAACUAUUCCAUGUGAACAUUUCUUAACUCAAGCAAACAAUCUAUUGAGAACAAAAGGUCAAAACCACCUUUCUUUGAUGUUAACAUAGAAAACCUUCUUUUCACUUAUUCUUGCCUAGAAAUUGAUAUUAUUUGUGCUUCCUGGGGAUGAUUUGCAAGGUUUAGUUUGUAAAUCUACCUUCAGGUUCCCUGAGACCCAUCCCUACAGUAGUACCUGCGCCCAGUCUGCCUCUGUGGUCCAGUACUUAGGGCAACACAGAAAGAGCUAAAUUAGAGCUGUUGCCAAGAUCAUUAGACCCCUGAGAAUGGGUCUUGCCAGUGGAAAGUGACAGGUUCUACCAUCAACACCCUGCAGCGUGGGAGGAACACUGGGAAGGGGGUACCUAUGAAAAAUUCAAGAAUGUUUCCUGAGCCAAGGGAGAGAAAGGGAAGCUAUCCCUGAGCCUGGCACUGAAGAAGACAGAGAACACAGGACACUCCACAGUCCUGCUCCUCUUGUGUAACCUUAAAAAAAUAAUUUCUUGGAAGACAAGUGGAGUCCCAAACUGGUGAGGCCAACCCAAGCACUCUCCAGAGGUGACUGACAUUUCUAGUCACUGUGUUGCUUGAGGAGGUUUGGGAAGGGGGCUGAGGAGUGGUUACCAAACAUUAAAACCUGAGAAAGUCCCCAAGACCAGCAGCACCACUAGGAGCUGCCAGGGAAGUUCUGGCUGAUAGGAAUGAUUCCCAAGAGCAGCAGUGUCACAUUGUCUUGAGGGAUACUGAAGUCAGUCUUUACCGGCUACUUAACAUCUGGGUGUGGAGUAGGGAGGGAAAAGAAUGGUCUUUUCUACUUUUGGGAACUCCUCUAUGCUCUCAAGCCCUUUUACCCUAAACCAGGUGGAUCCUUGACUCCAAAAUUAUUUCCUGUUAUUCCCCCCCCCCCCCCCGAUAAAUCCUUGCAGACUUCAACCUUGCCACCACUUAAUGUCCCUCAUGAGACAGCCACUCUACUAAGCAUGGCUUUCUUCAUCUUGGUCACCACCACUACUCCUACUGCUCUGGCCUUGGGGAUAAGGCAUCACCUUCCCCCCUUUGCCACAUCUUUUUAAGCAUGUAACAGGUCCUUGCAGUGUUUCAUCACAACAGACUACCACCUCUAUUGAGACUUCAACCAAGGUUCAAAAGUGGCCAACUGGAAGAGAGCCUAAGGGUAUCUCCUAAAAUGUGAACUAAAUGCAUUAGAAUUGUCUGGAGUGUUUGCUAUAAACAAGGUUAAGGGCCCCACUUCACACUUUUAUUCAAUUAGAAUUUCUGGAAGUGGGUCUCAGAUAUCUACAUCAAUAAAAAUCUCCCCAAGAGAUAAUAUGCACACCAAUAUUUGAAUCACUGGCAUGAGAAGUAAUUUACUUCUGCUAUAAGAUAUGGCUUCUCCCAGAGCCUACAGGACAAGAAGCCAACAUUCAGGGAGCCUCAGGGAACCUCCAUGCCUAGAUUUCAACCUGCCUUCAUGUGGCAAACUCUUGACUCACCCCCACCACUGGUAGCGUACUGGCAUGUCCAUGCAGCCAAGCCCAAGCAAAAUGCCAAAAAGUCCAGUAAGAGAAGAGUUCUCUCUCUUGCCUUCAGUCUAAGGCUCACCCAAGUCCUGCCUUAUUUCCAGUCCCAGGACUUGCCUCUCUGAGAUGAGUGACAACGGAAUUCCCACUGUCCUCAUGGAAACCACUACCCCCCACUCACAAAGGUAUAAUCUUGUUCUGAGAGUCUCAAGGAUAUCACUUCAAUAUAUUUUCAAAAGUCUGGGUCAUUCCUUUCCCAAAUAACAUCACAGCUCAGGCAUUAACAGUCCGAACUCAGCUUCACCAAGUCUAAUCCAGUUCUUUUUAUAGUCUCUCCUCUGUUGUAAGAUAAAGAUAAGGCCUAUAUCCCCUUUCCUGUAAUUCUCUUGGUCCUAACUCAGACAAUGUAGUGAAUCUUGCUUAAGUAGAACACAACGG